rnacentral:rRNA from 1 species
CCCAGACUCCUACGGGAGGCAGCAGUGGGGAAUAUUGCACAAUGGGGGAAACCCUGAUGCAGCGACGCCGCGUGAGUGAAGAAGUAUUUCGGUAUGUAAAGCUCUAUCAGCAGGGAAGAUAAUGACGGUACCUGAGUAAGAAGCCCCGGCUAACUACGUGCCAGCAGCCGCGGUAAUACGUAGGGGGCAAGCGUUAUCCGGAUUUACUGGGUGUAAAGGGAGCGUAGACGGCAUGGCAAGUCUGAAGUGAAAGCCCGGGGCUCAACCGCGGGACUGCUUUGGAAACUGUUAAGCUGGAGUGCAGGGGAGGUAAGUGGAAUUCCUAGUGUAGCGGUGAAAUGCGUAGAUAUUAGGAGGAACACCAGUGGCGAAGGCGGCUUACUGGACUGUAACUGACGUUGAGGCUCGAAAGCGUGGGGAGCAAACAGGAUUAGAUACCCUGGUAC